UACGAAGGGGCUAGCGUUGCUCGGAAUUACUGGGCGUAAAGCGCACGUAGGCGGAUUGUUAAGUCGGGGUGAAAUCCUGGAGCUCAACUCCAGAACUGCCUUCGAUACUGGCGAUCUCGAGUUCGGGAGAGGUGAGUGGAACUGCGAGUGUAGAGGUGAAAUUCGUAGAUAUUCGCAAGAACACCAGUGGCGAAGGCGGCUCACUGGCCC
rnacentral:rRNA from 1 species